AUGUCUAGAAAUAACUCUGAAAGCUGGGCUGACAAAUCUCCACAACUGCAAACGAAAAGGAAGAACAUCCACUACAUACUCUGUAUGAGGACUGGAAGGGAGGUGUCAGGUCUACACUGUGGAUGCACUGGACAUGAGCUUGCUACUUCAGCCUUGGCACAAAACAGUAAGUUCGUUCAUUUAUUAUAUAUUAUAUAUAAUUAUAUAUAAGAUGUAUAUAGUUAUGAA
rnacentral:lncRNA from 1 species